rnacentral:tRNA from 2 species
UACCGGGUGGUGUAAUGGGUAACACAUCAGCGUUUGAACCUGAUGUUCUCAGUUCAAAUCCGGGCCUGGUAU